AUUGAACGCUGGCGGCAUGCCUAACACAUGUAAGUCGAACGAGUGGCGGACGGGUGAGUAAUGUCUGGGCAACUGCCUGAUGGAGGGGGAAAACUACUGGAAACGGUAGCUAAUACCGCAUACCAUCAUAUGUGCUCAGAUGGGAGUAGCUGGUUGGUGGGGUAACGGCUCACCAAGGCGACGAUCCCUAGCUGUACUGAGAGGCUGACCGGCAACACUGGAACUGAGACACGGUCCAGACUCCUACGGGAGGCAGCAGUGGGGAAUAUUGCACAAUGGGCGAAAGUCUGAUCGAGCAAUGCCGCGUGUAUGAAGAAGGCUUUCGGGUUGUAAAGUACUUUCGUCGGGGAGGCGUUAUCCACAGAAAAAGCCCCGGCUAACUACGUGCCAGCAGCCGCGGUAAUUC
rnacentral:rRNA from 1 species